AUUGAACGCUGGCGGCAGGCCUAACACAUGCAAGUCGAGCGGAGCGGCGGACGGGUGAGGAAUGCCUAGGACUCUGCCUGGUAGUGGGGGAUAACGUCCGGAAACGGGCGCUGAUACUGCAUACUAUCAGAUGAGCCUAGGUGGGAUUAGCUAGUUGGUGGGGUAAAGGCUUACCAAGGCGACGAUCCGUAACUGGUCUGAGAGGAUGAUCAGUCACACUGGAACUGAGACACGGUCCAGACUCCUACGGGAGGCAGCAGUGGGGAAUAUUGCACAAUGGGCGCAAGCCUGAUGCAGCCAUGCCGCGUGUGUGAAGAAGGCCUUCGGGUUGUAAAGCACUUUCAGCGGGGAGGCGUUACCCGCAGAAGAAGCACCGGCUAACUCCGUGCCAGCAGCCGCGGUAAUUC
rnacentral:rRNA from 1 species